AUGGCAAAGUUUUGGUGGAGCAGCUCGAUCGACAGGCACGCCAUGCACUGGAUCGAUUGGAAGUCGCUCUCAAAACCAAAGAUUCAAGGAGGGAUGGGAUUCCGGAACCUUCAAAUUUUUAAUUUGUCACUAUUAGGGAAGCAGAGCUGGAGACUACUUACAAACCCUCGUUCUCUUUGCGCUUGGGUGCACAAGGGCCGGUAGUUCCCAUUGACAGACUUCUUGCAAGCCACUGUUCCGCGCAACGCUUCGGCUACCUGGCGUGCGAUCAUUGUGGGCAGAGUGGCUCUUGACGUUGGUCUACUGAAGAGAAUUGGAGAUGGUACUUCAGUGAAUGUUUGGAAUGGCUGUUGGUUACCAGGCAAGAUGUUACUCAAACCCUCCACUCAAAUUGGUGACGCGGUAAUCAAUAAAGACUCAAAUUUGAUUGAUGAGCAGAGUUGGUCCUGGAAGGCCGACAUGAUUAGGAACAACUUCAUUGCCCCGAUGCAGAUGCGAUCUUGA
rnacentral:rRNA from 1 species